rnacentral:lncRNA from 10 species
AUUACAAAGAACAUGAGGGAUUUUUAUUGUGAUUGGAACUGUUUUAUACAUUGUUUAGGGUGGUAGCUACCAGAUUAUAUGUGUUUGUUAAUACUCAUAGAACCAUAUGGCAAAGGGUGAAUUUUAUAGAAUGUAAUUUACACCUUAACAAACCCAUCUAUACCUAAAUAAAUAAGAACACAAAGAAAACAGCUCAAAAAAAAAAAAAAAAAAAAAGAAAAAGAGAAAAAAACAAAGCCCCAAGCCAAUCAAAAUUUCCAACUCUUGUCUAAUAACUGGAAUGAUAGAAAUACAGCCUUCUUUAUUUCAGGAGCCCAGUUGUUAUGCUUUGAUAGAAAUAAAACUCCAACUAGCCUCAAAGAUUGUCUGAGUUCUUUUUGAAGUUAGCAUGGAGGUCCCCACAAGAUAAACACUAGAGCCAGUUCUACCACUGGCCAAGAAGGGUCACCUUCACCUCUAGGUUCUGCCUCUUUCCUUCUUCCAGAAUUGUGCCCAAGUACAAUUUUACCUUGUGAAAUGGGAAUAACAAAAUGGAAGCUGGGUGGGCCCAGAAUCCAAGGAGUUUGGGUCUGGUAAGUGAGCCGUGAUGCUGCAGUUCUCCAGGUUGUAUUGUGCCUGUCUGAUUUGAUGGAGGGCCCUGUAGAAGCUGAGGGUGAAGCUACUAGAAGUUCCAGGCCCAGCAGAGAUGUGAAGACAGGGGUGAAAACCAGGGGGAUUAGGUGACAUUCUAGUUCCACGGUUGGUGUGAAAUGGCAGGGAUCAGAUGGAGGCUGUAGCUCAGUAAAGCCCCUGGAAAACCCUAUGGUUUGACAAGUGCGAGGAUGUGAUUUUUCUACCUGCCUUGACCAGGAUAGACCAAGAAUUGCACUUUACUACAUCCAAAUGCUGACGAAACUGAUGACAAAAGCUAGAAGAGACAAGCCCACCAAGUGCCUUCUGACCUCUCUCAGGGGGGACCACUUCUGGGAUGCUGAUUGGGGUCAGCUGACCACUUCCAGGAUGCUGAUUAAGGUGGCACCAUUAAGAGAUGGGACUGGCUUUUUAAGAAAUAUAAUGGUAAUUUAGUAUUCACGGUGGACACUUCAGGAAUUUAUAAUUAUAGAUGUGUAGCCUAAAGAACUGAACUUCUUUAAUAAACCCAGCUCAAUCAGGGAACUACCCUUUGUCCUACUUAUUAUUACCCCAACUUUAUGACUUACAUUCACCCUGAUUGAUUGAAUGAUGCUUCCAAGCUUCAGAUUCACUAAAGC